GAUGAACGUUGGCGGCGUGCCUAACACAUGCAAGUCGAACGAAAGUAGCAAUACUUUAGUGGCGCACGGGUGAGUAACACGUAGCUUACCUCCCUCUCAGCGCGGGAUAACGACUCGAAAGAGUUGCUAAUACCGCAUAAGCUCACGGGUUCUAGAGACUUGUGAGAAAAGGUGCAAAUCACUGAGAGACGGGGCUGCGGCCCAUCAGCUAGUUGGCGCGGUAAAGGCGCACCAAGGCGACGACGGGUAGGGGACCUGAGAGGGUCGACCCC
rnacentral:rRNA from 1 species